AACGAACGCAGGCGGCAUGCCUAACACAUGCAAGUCGAACGAGAUCUUCGGGUCUAGUGGCGCACGGGUGCGUAACGCGUGGGAAUCUGCCCUUUGGUUCGGAAUAACAGUUGGACACGACUGCUAAUACCGGAUGAUGACGAAAGUCCAAAGAUUUAUCGCCAGAGGAUGAGCCCGCGUAGGAUUAGCUAGUUGGUGUGGUAAAGGCGCACCAAGGCGACGAUCCUUAGCUGGCCUGAGAGGAUGAUCGGCCACCCUGGGCCUGAGACACGGCCCAGACUCCUACGUGAGGCAGCGGUGGAGAAUAUUGGCCAAUGGGCGAAAGCUUGAUCCGGCAAUGCCGCAUGAGUGAUGAAGACCUUAGGGUUGUAAAGCUCUUUUACCCGGGAUGAUAAUGACAGUACCGGGAGAAUAAGCUCCGGCUAACUCCGUGCCAGCAGCCGCGGUAA
rnacentral:rRNA from 1 species